CAUAUUACCAAAGCAGAAGAGAUACUACAGUAUGCAAGGGCUGAAAAUGGAGAAGGAAGAGUCCUUACCACGCUUAGCCCUGAUCUGGCAAGGGAAAGGUGCCAUUGCCACAGUCCCACGUAGAGUCAUGAAUUUGAAAGGAAUGGUGACUUUUGGCCCAGAGUUGCCGCUAUCCUGAUGUGAACACUCAGAAAGAGCUGGAAGACAGAUGCUCCAGCCAUCACCCCUCCUCCCAUCGGAUUUCUCCCCAGGGCUCUGCAAUAACCAAAAUCAAAGAGAAUCUCAGACCAGAUUUUCAGGAAGCAAAUGCAUCUCUCAGCUUCACACCUCAUACAUCCUGAACUGCAAAGCGGGUGAACCAGUCCCUUCUCCAGGGGAUCUUCCAGACCCAGGGAUUGAACUCUGGUCUCCUGCAUUGCAGGCAGAUUCUUUACCACCUGCUGCUGCUGCUGCUAAGUUGCUCCAGUCGUGUCCGACUCUAUGUGAUCCCACAGAUGGCAGCCCACCAGGCUCCCCUGUCACUGGGAUUCUCCAGGCAAGAACACUGGAGUGGGUUGCCAUUUCCUUCUCCAGAGCAUGAAAGUGAAAAGUGAAAGUGAAGUCGCUCAGUCGUGUCUGACUCCUAGCGACCCCAUGGACUGCAGCCCACCAGGCUCCUCUGCCCAUGGGAUUUUCCAGGCAAGAGUACUGGAGUGGGGUGCCAUUGCCUUCUCCAUUUGCCACCUGAGCCACCAGGAAAGCCUGCAAAGGGGAUGAGCUUGGUCUAAAGAAGGACACUGGUGAGACUGAGUACCAGGUUUCCAAGCUUUUUGUGAUUCUGUUCAAUCUCGGGGAAAAGAAAAAUCAUUUACCCUAAAUACAUACAUGAAUGUGGCAUUUCACCCCUGCUGUAGGGACCAUAAACAAGUUUAAAGAGUCUCCGACCUCACAAAGUUUAUAGUCUGGAUGCGGAGGGUGUAUACACACACACACACACACACACACACACACACACACACACACAUAUAUACAUGAAACAGUAGCAGAAAGACAUACAUGGGCAAAAAGAGAUGAGAAAAGACUAGAAGAGAAUGUUACUAAAUUCUCGACCACAUAAACCAAUUUCCAAGAUAGUAAACAUUGUAGGGAAGUGUGAUCACCAGGGCAGUAAAAUCAUAGAAAAUGCCAUGGGCCUUGAACAAAACCUUGAAACAUAGAUAGCUUAUAACUAAGCAAAAUAAAGGAGGACUUUCUGGUUGAGGAAAAAGCCA
rnacentral:lncRNA from 1 species